rnacentral:rRNA from 1 species
AUUGAACGCUGGCGGCAUGCCUUACACAUGCAAGUCGAACGGUAACGGGUCUUCGGAUGCUGACGAGUGGCGAACGGGUGAGUAAUACAUCGGAACGUGCCUAGUAGUGGGGGAUAACUACUCGAAAGAGUGGCUAAUACCGCAUGAGAUCUACGGAUGAAAGCAGGGGAUCGCAAGACCUUGUGCUACUAGAGCGGCCGAUGGCAGAUUAGGUAGUUGGUGGGAUAAAAGCUUACCAAGCCGACGAUCUGUAGCUGGUCUGAGAGGACGAUCAGCCACACUGGGACUGAGACACGGCCCAGACUCCUACGGGAGGCAGCAGUGGGGAAUUUUGGACAAUGGGCGCAAGCCUGAUCCAGCAAUGCUGCGUGCAGGAUGAAGGCCUUCGGGUUGUAAACUGCUUUUGUACGGAACGAAAAGCCCUGGGUUAAUACCCUGGGGUCAUGACGGUACCGUAAGAAUAAGCACCGGCUAACUACGUGCCAGCCGCCGCAGUAA